CGAGUGGGAUCCAGUUCUGGUAUUGUUCUUGGAAGUGGGGCCUAACAUGCUCCAUCUCCUGCUUGUAACAAGAGUUACGAAAGUGGAGGAUCCCAGAGCUGUCGUGAGUCAGAUCUCGCAGGAGGCCCAGCUGUGCGUCCCGGCGGUCGCGGCGCUCCUGCCAGCUCUCCAAGAAUGUCGGAAACAGACGCUUCUGGACGUCUGUGACGUCCACUGCCAUCGUGACCACAACGUCAGGGAAAAGCUGUUUCCCCAACAUGUACUGCACCUCAUCGGGAUUGUGGGGGAAGCCCUCCAAAAUAAAACCUGUAGAUCUUCAAGAUGGAGAACGGUCAGGUUUAACAAACACUUUGUGUUGCCAGGUGAACAAAAUAGAUACAUGUCCAAGUAUAUUACUGCACAUGGGGCAGGAUGAGAGUGUAUUUUAUGUUGAUAUACAACUACAUGUAUGGCUCCUGUUUCCAGUAUGGUGCGAUAACCAUAUCCAGGAUCUGUGGAGUCAGUGGAUCUCCAUCAGACAGGGAAGUUCAUCAAAAGCUGACCUCCUUUUCACUUAUGUUGGAGGAGUCUUCCUCCAGCUCCUUCGUCUCCUCCUCAACCGUCCCCCUGGCUUCCUCUAUCAGGGCCUCCAAAUCC